CUCUGAGUAUAAACAAGAGGUAGCAUGUGUACUCCGCCCACUACCGGUUAGCUUAGUCUCAGAGAACGAUAUGUCAUGACUGAUAAGACCCAACCAGGAGGAGAAACGUUGGCGUCAGUGUCGGUGUGGCCAAAGUUCUCUGUUUGCGGCCGUUGAGACUGCAACACAACCCCGCAGAUUCCUAACCAAAACAGAG